rnacentral:rRNA from 1 species
GAUGAACGCUGGCGGUAUGCUUAACACAUGCCAGUCGAACGGACUCUUCGGAGUUAGUGGCGGACGGGUGAGUAACGCGUGAGAAUCUGGCUUUGGGUUCGGGACAACCACUGGAAACGGUGGCUAAUACCGGAUGUGCCGAGAGGUAAAAGAGAAAUUGCCUGAAGAUGAGCUCGCGUCUGAUUAGCUAGUUGGUGAGGUAAAGGCUCACCAAGGCAGCGAUCAGUAGCUGGUCUGAGAGGAUGACCGGCCACACUGGGACUGAGACACGGCCCAGACUCCUACGGGAGGCAGCAGUGGGGAAUUUUCCGCAAUGGGCGAAAGCCUGACGGAGCAAUACCGCGUGAGGGAAGAAGGCUCUUGGGUUGUAAACCUCUUUUCUUAGGGAAGAACAAAAUGACGGUACCUAAGGAAUCAGCAUCGGCUAACUCCGUG